GCCUUCGUGGUGUAAUGGCCAAGCACACUCGGCGCGUAUUCGAGAAGUCCGUGGUUCGAAUCUAGGCGAGGGCA
rnacentral:tRNA from 1 species